UAGAGUUUGAUCCUGGCUCACCACUAACGCUGGCGGCGUGCCUAAUACAUGCAAGUCGAGCGGACUUGAUGGAGAGCUUGCUCUCCUGAUGGUUAGCGGCGGACGGGUGNNNNNNNNNUAGGCAACCUGCCUGCAAGACCGGGAUAACCCACGGAAACGUGAGCUAAUACCGGAUAUCUCAUUUUCUCUCCUGAGGGAAUGAUGAAAGACGGAGCAAUCUGUCACUUGCGGAUGGGCCUGCGGCGCAUUAGCUAGUUGGUGAGGUAACGGCUCACCAAGGCGACGAUGCGUAGCCGACCUGAGAGGGUGAACGGCCACACUGGGACUGAGACACGGCCCAGACUCCUACGGGAGGCAGCAGUAGGGAAUCUUCCGCAAUGGGCGNAAGCCUGACGGAGCAACGCCGCGUGAGUGAUGAAGGUUUUCGGAUNNNAAAGCUCUGUUGCCAGGGAAGAACGUCCGGUAGAGUAACUGCUAUCGGAGUGACGGUACCUGAGAAGAAAGCCCCGGCUAACUACGUGCCAGCAGCCGCGGUAAUACGUAGGGGGCAAGCGUUGUCCGGAAUUAUUGGGCGUAAAGCGCGCGCAGGCGGCCAUUUAAGUCUGGUGUUUAAGNNNAAGGCUCAACCUUGGUUCGCACUGGAAACUGGGUGACUUGAGUGCAGAAGAGGAGAGUGGAAUUCCACGUGUAGCGGUGAAAUGCGUAGAUAUGUGGAGGAACACCAGUGGCGAACGCGACUCUCUGGGCUGUAACUGACGCUGAGGCGCGAAAGC
rnacentral:rRNA from 1 species